CUUGGUCAUUUAGAGGAAGUAAAAAGUCGUAACAAGGUUUCCGUAGGUGAACCUGCGGAAGGAUCAUUAUCAAAAGUCAAGUCGGGGGCUGUAAAGCUCUCGUCUACACCCAUGUCUUUUGCGUACUCUUGUUUCCUCGGUGGCGCAAGCUGCCGAUUGGACAAACCAAAACCUUUUUUGUAAUUGCAAUCAGCGUCUGAAAAUAAUCUAAUUAUUUACAACUUUCAACAACGGAUCUCUUGGUUCUGGCAUCGAUGAAGAACGCAGCGGAAUGCGAUAAGUAGUGUGAAUUGCAGAAUUCAGUGAAUCAUCGAAUCUUUGAACGCACAUUGCGCCCCUUGGUAUUCCAUGGGGCAUGCCUGUUCGAGCGUCAUUUGUACCCUCAAGCUUUGCUUGGUGUUGGGCGUCUUGUCGUAUUACGACUCGCCUUAAAUUUAUUGGCAGCCGGCACUUUGGCCUAGGAGCGCAGCACAUUUUGCGAUCGUAGCCCGUUGUACUGGCGUCCAUCAAGAACAUUUACCACGUUUGACCUCGGAUCAGGUAGGGAUACCCGCUGAACUUAAGCAUAUCAAUAAGCGGAGGA
rnacentral:rRNA from 1 species